AAAGGUAAGCUACUAAGAGCGAAUGGUGGAUGCCUUGACUGGUAAAGGCGAUGAAGGACGUACUAGACUGCGAUAAGCUACGGGGAGCUGUCAAGAAGCUUUGAUCCGUAGAUUUCCGAAUGGGGCAACCCAAUGUAUAGAGAUAUACAUUACCUAUAUAGGAGCGAACGAGGGGAAUUGAAACAUCUUAGUACCCUCAGGAAAAGAAAUCAAUAGAGAUUGCGUCAGUAGCGGCGAGCGAAAGCGCAAGAGGGCAAACCCAGUGCUUGCACUGGGGGUUGUAGGACUGCAAUGUGCAAGAGGUGAGUUUAGCAGAACAUUCUGGAAAGUAUAACCAUAGAGGGUGAUAGUCCCGUAUGCGAAAAACAAACCUUAGCUAGCAGUAUCCUGAGUAGGGCGGGACACGAGGAAUCCUGUCUGAAUCCGGGUCGACCACGAUCCAACCCUAAAUACUAAUACCAGAUCGAUAGUGCACAAGUACCGUGAGGGAAAGGUGAAAAGAACUGAGGUGAUCAGAGUGAAAUAGAACCUGAAACCAUU
rnacentral:rRNA from 1 species